CGGAACAGGAUCUCCGAGGCAGCCAAGAGGAGGAGGAAGUCGAUGAUUGCUAAGCGUCGCCGAGUUGGGAGUGUCUUCAGCCCUAAGGCAGCAUCAGAGAUCAUAAUCUUCUGCUCUCGUGGCAAGAAAUUUGUGCGGAUAGAGUUGAUACACCUCACUUGAAGUUGGCCUGGAGAAAAGAGGCGUCGGACUCCUGGACGGGGUUGGGAAACGGUCACCAGUUUCGGCUCAAAGCAGCCUGUUUCCAGGAGACCGCCAUGGUCGAGGCAGCGUCCUGGUCCCACGGUGCGGGGCCGGACGAUCAUUUAUGGGAUAUAAAUAAAAGGACUAUGAGGUGGUAAAUAAAAGACUACCAACUAGAAGCCAUAGGGAGUCAUUUGAAGGAGAAAUAGGCACGGCUCAUCUGUGGUUGAGGGAAAGGGAUCUUGAAAGAUGAUUAGGAGAACUUGGGUUCUGGGGAAAGUGCGGGAAGACAUUCUGGCAGAGAAGCAAACGUGAGGAAAGGUAAGAAGGCAAGAAUCUCCCAUUACAAAGGGUUUGGUGAAACCCUUUGCCUGUCCUUUUCGCUCCCUUCGGGAGCAGUCGGCAAUAAGCUGGAAGGGUAAUGGGGUGAAAAUGCCCGUGGUCAGUUCCCUGGCUCUGCGACUCACUAGAUGUCUGACAAUAAACAAGUUACUUAGCUUCUGGGAGUCUGUUUUCCCGAUUGUGAAAUGGGGAUACUAUAUUUGUUCUAGAGAUAUAAAAUAUUAGGGUUUGCUUGCGACCGUUAAUAUCAAGAUGUGUUCAGAUGUACGAAGGGAAUGGAUAUCUGUUGGGUACACUUGAUGUGAGUGAUUUUUUUUUUUUUUUGAGACGGGGAUCUUGCCGUGUUGCCCAAGCUGGUCUGGAACUCCUGGGCUCAAGCAAUCCUCCCACCACAGCCUCCCCAAGUGCUGGGAUUACAGGCAUGAGCCACCACACCAAGACGAUGUGAGUGAUUCACUUGAUGUGAAUGUUGUAUUUCAUUGAAUGGCCUGCUCUUCAGACUCAUAUCUCGUCAUGACCUUUACAACUUCUACUACUUCCUGUGUCCCUCAGGAACCUAGCUUUUUUUUUUUUUUUUUUUUUUUUUUUUUGAGACGUAGUCUAGCUCUGUGACCCAGGAUGAACCUCACUGCAAUCUCCACCUCCUGGGUUAAAGCGAUUCUUUUGCCUCAGCCUCCCAAGUAGCAUGAGCCACCACGCCCGGUUAAUUUUUGAAUUUUUAGUAGAGAUGGGGUUUCACUGUGUUGGCCAAGCUGGUCUCAAACUCCUGACCUCAAGUGAUCCGCCCUCUCUCAGCCUCCCAAAGUACAGGGAUUACAGGCGUAAGCCACCGUGCCCGGCCUUGCUAACUACUUUUUGUCUUUCAGUCUUUCUGGUUAUACGUUGAAAGUUACUUUGAGGAAACAUUUGAUCUUGCAGACUGGGCAGCCUUCUGGUUGCAUCCUCUUAGAACAGGGGUCCCCAACCCUUGUACUGGUCUGCAGCCUGUUAGGAACCGGGCGGCACAGCAGUAGGUGAUCGGUGGGCCAGUGAGCAGUACCGCCUGAGCUCCUGUCAGAUCAGCUGUGAUAUUAGCUUCUCACAGCUCAAACCCUAUUGUGAACUGGGAAUGUGAAGGAUCUAGGUUGCUCACUCCUUAAGAGAAUCUAAUGGGAAAUGUAAUGAGCUUGAAUCAUACUGAAACCAGCUGUCCAACUCCUGUGGAAAGAUUGUCUUCCCUGAAACCGGUCCCUGGUGCCAAAAAGGUUGGGAGACUCCCUAUAGGACUCCACUUCUGAGCACUGAUAAUUAAGGGUUAUCUCACUCUGUAUGGACUAUAGUUCUGAGGCCAAGGAACCAUAUUUACCUUGCUCACUGCAGUAUCCCUAGGAUCUAGCAUACUGCCUGGCACAUAGUUGGCAUUUUUUGUUUCACAUUCCUUGCCUAAUCUUGAGUUCCUUGAGGGCAGAAACUGCCCAGCUCCUGAUAUGGCAUAUGGUGCCCUGCCAUAUUUUUGUCUGGUCCUUCCAGUAUAUACAAUGCAAAGAGCAUGAAAGGUGGCUUGAACUCUAGGUGCUGGAGGGUGUAAUUCUUGUGAAUUAGUAAAAAUCAUGAGAAGAGCUUUAGACUUUUACUGACUAGAAUUGUCACAGGUUUCAAGCCAGUUAUGUUUAGAUUUCAGGGGGUGGGGGCUCCAGAUGACAUGGUAUACCCAAAAUGUUGUGUGAGAAAAUUGGGUAUACCCAAAAUUUUGUUGUAUUUUGUUAUUCUGAGAAAAUGUAGAUUCCACUGUAUUCUCCAAAGGUGUUUAUAUCCACCAUCCCCUCCCAAAAGUUAAGAGCCACUGUCCUAGUAGUACUUUUUAGAACAUUGACUUUAUAUAAGAAUUGGCAAUUUUCGUUUCUAUAUCAUUCUAAUCCUAUAUACUUUGUAGCUUUUAGAAAUGCUCAGAAUUCUGCUGCUGUGGACUUGUUUCUAUUUCUUAUGUCAUUUUAAUGGAGUUUUGUGGCAAACAGCCUAUAAAUAUGGGGCUUAACCUGCCAUUUUUGAAACAGGAAUCUUCCAAACCAUAGUGGUGUUUUGUUUUUUUUUUUUUAAAUAACAAAUUUACAUCUCACAUUGUGAAGGAUGGAAAGAUUGUCUGGUGAGGGGCCACUCUGAUUCAUAGAUGGCAUCUUCUGUUUUCACAUGGUGGGAAAAAAACCAGACUGAUCUCUUAAAGCAUGUAUCUGAUGCCACUUUCCUACCCUCACGAUAAAAUCCGAACUCCAAAGAAGAGCAGUAAGAGCUUUUGUGAUCUGGCCUCUGCUUGCCACCUCCCCAACUCACAUAGGUCUCUAUACUUAUUUCCUAGCCCCCUUGCAUGCUAUUCACCUCUAACUUCCAUGUAGUUAUGUGUCCCCCUACCUCCUGGAAUUUGCAUUUUUAUUCAUCUGACAAGUGUUUGUCUUGUAUAUGCCAGUGCCGUGUAUUACACCAGUUGCUGUGAUACAGCUGACAACAAAGAAGACAGCCCAGUGUAAUACAUUUAUUUUCUAGUUGGGAGAGAUGGGUAAUAAAUAAACAUGUACUAUGUUUGGUGGUAAUAAGUUUGCUGAAGAAAAUUAUGGAAAGGUAAGAGAGAUUGAGUAUAGACUGUGGAGAAUUAGUCUUUUUCAUUCACAGUAUACAAUUGUUUUCUAGAGAUCAGAGUCCUUCCUACUUUUGUGUAUUCACAAUACCCUAUUGUUAAUUCCAUAUUAAGACUAUAUACGGUGUUUUGAAAUUGUCUGCCUCUGGAGACUUCCAAGAUUCAUUGAGAGCAGAAGGUUAAUUUUGUUCAUCUUUGCAUUCCCAGGGUCUUAUAUAUACAUAAUAGGCUGUAUUUGUUCUCUAAAAAAUACAGAACCAAUAGGAUAUGUACAGAUUAUGAGAAAUUGGCUCUGCAAAAUGGAGGUGAAGUCCCACAGUCUGCCUUCUGCAGGCUGAAGGCCCAGGAAAGCCAGUGUAGUUCCAAACCCGAGGGCUUGAGAAUCAGGGGAGGCAAUAACGUUAAGUCCUAGUCUGAAGGCCUGAGGACCAGGAGCACCAACAUCUGGGGGCACGAAAUGGAUGUCCCAGCAGUUCACCCUUCUUCCCCUUUUUUGUUCUAUUCAGGCCCUCAAUGGAUUAGAUGACGCUCACCCACAUGGGUGAAGGCAGUCUUCUUUACUCAAGUCUACUGAUUCAAGUGCUAGUCUCUUCCAGAAACACCAUCACAGAUGUACCUAGAAAUGUUGUUUGACCAGCUAUCAAGGCAUCCCGUAGCCUAGUCAAGUUGACAGAAUUAGCCAUCUCAUCAGUAUCCACAAUGUAUUUUUAUAUUAAUGGAUUUAGCCUGAGAAGCUUCCAUGUACAGUAUCUUUUUUUUUUUUUUUUUGGCGACAGAUUUUCGCUCUUGUUGCCCAGGCUGGAGUGCAAUGGUUCGAUCUCAGCUCACCACAACCUCUGCCUUCCAGGUUCAAGCGAUUCUCCUGCCUCAGCCUCCCGAGUAGUUGGAAUUAUAGGCAUGCACCACCAUGCCUGGCUAAUUUUGUAUUUUUAGUAAAGAGGGGGUUUCUCCAUGUCAGUCAGGCUGGUCUUGAACUCCCGACCUCAGGUGAUCUGCCCACCUCACCCUCCCAAAGUGCUGGGAUUACAGGCGUGAGCCACUGCACCCAGCCUCAUGUACAGUAUCUUAUGGUAUCUUGUCAACUCAGAGGCAAGCAGAAGAAAUAAGACGUGAGCCACCGCGCCCAGCCUCAUGUACAGUAUCUUAUGGUAUCUUAUCAACUCAGAGGCAAGCAGAAGAAAUAUUUAGCUCCAUUUUAUAACUUGAUUUCCAUUCCACUAUUUUCAUUGUACUGCAAUGUGAGAUUAACAAUUCCACCCCAAGUAUUUGAGGUGUGGGAAGCUGGAUGUAAAAACACCAUUAAAAACAACUCUUUUCAAUGGCUUUCUAAGGUUGGCUGGGCUGAAAUGGCAGGUUGUGGAUGCUCCGUGGCACAUCACACUGCCCCUUUCUUCAUAUUAGAAAUUAAAUCAGCCGAUGGCAAUAUUGAAUUCCAGGUAAUUUUCUUUCUUUCUUUUUUUUUGAAACAGAGUUUUGCUCUUGUUGCCCAGGCUGGAGUACAAUGGCGCAACCUCGGCUCACCACAACCUCCGCUUCCCAGGUUCAAGCGAUUCUCCUGCCUCAGCCUCCUGAGUCGCUGGGAUUACAGGAAUGUGCCACCAUGCCCGGCUAGUUUUGUAUUUUUAUUAGAGACUGGGUUUCUCCAUGUUGGUCAGGCUGGUCUCGAACUCCUGAUCUCAGGUGAUCCACCUGCCUCGGCCACCCAAAGUGCUGGGAUUACAGGCAUGAGCUACCAUGCCCAGAGAAUUCCAGGUAAUUCUCAUGGUGAAUGAAUUCCAUUCAUACUGUUGUUCUUCAGUCUGCCAAAUGGAUAUUACAUAACACAUUUGUGUGCCAUGAUGGGCCUUACAUAUAUUGACUCAUGUAAUUCUCACAACUUUAUGAGGUGGUAUUAGUCGCAUUUUCAUUUCAUGAAAUUGAGGCACAAAAAAAUUAGACAUGUUGAAGAUCAUACAUCAUCCCUCACCUGGGCUACAAUAGCCUCUUAACUAAUCUCUGCUUCUCCUCUUGUCCACACAACAGCCAGAGAACCUUUAAAUAUGUUAAGUAUGUCAAGCCUCUGCUCAAACUGAGUUUUUCCUGUCACACUUCAGUGUGGCCUAUAGGCCCUAAGUGAUGUAGCCUUUGCUUAUAUUGUCUUCCACUCUCAUCCUUGUUCACAGAGCUCUAGCAAUUCUCAUGUUUGGAGGUCCUCAAGGCAAAACUCAGCUUUAUUUCCCAUUCCCUUAGUAUGGAAAGCUAUUUCCCUAUCUGUGUGUCUUGCUUUUACAUCAUUGCUCUGCUCUCCUCAAAAACCUUCCCCUCUUAUCCCCAUCACCGUCCUCAUUUUGAUUCUUCAUAUACAUUUAUCCUUUCCUGAUUUUAUACUGUUUACCUUUUUAUGGUUUGUUUUCCCCUCUAAAACAUAAGUUCCAUCUGGACAAGGGCUUUGCUCAGUCCUAUUUUCCUAGGCCCUAGAAUCAAACCAGUAUUGGGUGAAUGGAUACUGAAUGAAGCUUUACCUAAGUGCUUUGUCUUUUACUUAGUUUCAGUGGUUAAAUCUCAGAAAGCUUAACAGCAAUUCUAAGCAUGUCUUUAUCAUAAAAGGUUAAAAACUGUAUUAUUGGGAUAUUUUUUCUCUUUUUAUGUUUACCUACAAGCCCGUAGAAAGUAUAAAUACUCAAAAGAUAGCAGACCAGGUAGGCUUAAGUUACUUUUACAAAACAGUAGAAAUACCUUCAAAUAUUUAGCACUGAUGAACUUACUACUGAGGACAUGUGGACUCUACUAAGAAACUAAUGAUGAAAUUCAUAAUUGGGUGUGGUAGCACAUGCACCCAGCUACUCGAGAGGCUGCAGCUUGAGUCCAGGAGUUCAAGGCUGCAGGGAGCCAUAAUCAUGCCACUGCACUCCAGCCUGGGAGACAGUGAGAACUUGGCUCUUAAAAAAAAAAAGGAAAAAAAAUUGAUAACGACAAUUUGUAAUGGUCAGUCCUAUCCACCAGUCUAAAUGAAAGUUUAAAAAUUUUCAUAUACUGCACAGAAGUAGAUGGAGUCUUAAUGCUAGGUAAGGGUAAACAAGCUGAAAUAGCAGUCAGUGACUUCAGAGACCAUGA
rnacentral:lncRNA from 1 species